rnacentral:rRNA from 1 species
AAGGAGAAUUCGAAACAUUAUAAGGAAUAAAGAAGAAUUGUCUCUAUAUAUACUAUAGAUGUACCGACGAUACGAUGAAAAAAACACACUACUUAGUAACACUCAAAGCUUCUUUGAAGGUUACAAUGGAGGCGGUUCAAACGGCCGUCUUCUUCGUGUAGGUAACUCGGCAAGUUACAGCGGACGCCACCGAUGUGGUCUCCCAUUGGUACCAUCGUAGAACUCGGGUUCUUGUCACAAUGACGGUAAAUUGCGGCGCUACAAAAUCGAGGUCCUUAAACCUGGGAGGACGCUAUUCUUAGUCAACUUUUCCUUUUAAGCACGUUGUCCCUAAACUGGGAUUUGAGAAAACUAAUAUGUUUGAUGUUUCACUAGAUUAAAGGUAAAAGAGGGAUACGUCAGUUAGUUUUCAGAAUAACCGUGAAGAACGACGAUGAUGUAAGUACUACUGGUGACACAGUUCGGAAGGUUCAUAGACGAGAGGACUACAAAUGUGUUCCCUCUGCGAUGAUUCCCUCGUCUUGUACCUCUUCAAAAGAACUACAAAUGUGUUCCCUCUACUAUGAUUUCUUCGUCUAGCGCUUCUUCAAAGUUACUUAAUCUCUCAAUAUCUACGGUCGACCAGGAGAUGUAUAGACAAUGGACUAUUUUUAUUCUUUUUACGUACACGACGUAAGUAAUUCCGAUUAUCGAGAGUUAAAACGGUUACCAUUACCCGACAACCCAUAGUUGGCUUACUGUUAUCACCGGACUCCCCACCAUUGUACCAACGGAGAACGCCUUAUCGGUAAAUCUAUAAUAAAACAACACAUUAGAAUUAGCGGUAGGUUUAGUAUAAAUUAAACAUACAAUUAGAAGAGGACCACCUUG